rnacentral:rRNA from 1 species
CCUACGGGAGGCAGCAGUGAGGAAUAUUGGUCAAUGGGCGGAAGCCUGAACCAGCCAAGUAGCGUGCAGGAUGACGGCCCUACGGGUUGUAAACUGCUUUUAUCCGGGAAUAACGCGCCUUACGUGUAGGGCUUUGCAUGUACCGUAUGAAUAAGGACCGGCUAAUUCCGUGCCAGCAGCCGCGGUAAUACGGUAGGUCCGGUCGUUAUCCGGAUUUAUUGGGUUUAAAGGGAGCGUAGGCCGCCUGUCAAGCGUGCGGUGAAAGUUCCGGGCUCAACCCGGGCCUUGCAGCGCGAACUGGCGUGCUUGAGUCCGCGGAAAGCAGGCGGAAUUCGUCGUGUAGCGGUGAAAUGCUUAGAUAUGACGAAGAACCCCGAUUGCGAAGGCAGCUUGCUGCAGCGGAACUGACGCUGAUGCUCGAAAGCGCGGGUAUCGAACAGGAUUAGAUACCCGUGUAGUC